rnacentral:snRNA from 1 species
GGAUGUGAGGGCGAUCUGGCUGCGACAUCUGUCACCCCAUUGAUCGCCAGGGUUGAUUCGGCUGAUCUGGCUGGCUAGGCGGGUGUCCCCUUCCUCCCUCACCGCUCCAUGUGCGUCCCUCCCGAAGCUGCGCGCUCGGUCGAAGAGGACGACCUUCCCCGAUAGAGGCGUACCGUUCUUCGGUCAAGGGUAUACGAGUAGCUGCGCUCCCCUGCUAGAACAAGCUCCCAAGGUCCAUUUGUAGGAGAACGUAGGGUAGUCAAGCUUCCAAGACUCCAGACACAUCCAAAUGAGGCGCUGCACGUGGCAGU